GCCUUCUUGGCUCAGUUGGCAGAGCGUCUGCCUAGUAAGCAGAAGGUCACCAGUUCGAUUCUGGUAGAAGGCA
rnacentral:tRNA from 1 species